rnacentral:lncRNA from 1 species
ACUUAGAUGUUUUACAAUUAUGUUUUCGUUUCUUGUUAUGAACUAUUGUGCAACAUGGAAAAUAAAUGCUCUACCAAAUUUUGUUUUCUUACCUGUUACUAACAAUUACAAAGAGGUUCUCCAAUUUCUUUCGGAUUUUACAAGGGGUUUGCAAGGAGAAAAAGGUUGGGAACCACUGGUCUAUACAAUUGCUUAUUUUUUACAUUUACUAUAUUUAAAUAUCUGGAUCAAUAGAUAUAUCCCCUAGAAAAAGUUUGGGACCCUCCUAUUUUGGCUUUGUAAUUUUCUAAGAGUUCUAUUAUCUCUAGUGAUUAGAUGAUUUUUGAGAUUUUUGGGGAAUGAUUGAGGGGCUAGUUAUUCACUCGUAUCCUAUGAUACACUCUCCUGUAUAUCAUAGACGUCAUUGUUACUCUGAACUGCUGAAUGGAUUAGAAACAAGUUUGUUUUGGCUUUGCUUACAAUAAACAUCAUAAAUCUGUUUGUCACAUGACAACAUCUACAACAAUAGAAAUAUUUAAA